rnacentral:tRNA from 1 species
GCUCCCGUAGUUCAACGGAUAGAAUACAAGUUUGCGGAACUUGCGAUCCAGGUUCGAUUCCUGGCGGGAGCACAA